rnacentral:rRNA from 1 species
AUUGAUCGCUGGCGGCAGGCUUAACACAUGCAAGUCGAACGAGCGGCGGACGGGUGAGUAAUGUAUGGGGACUGCCCGCUAGAGGGGGAUAACUACUGGAAACGGUGGCUAAUACCGCAUACUAUCGGAUAACCCAUAUGGGAUUAGCUAGUAGGUGGGGUAAAGGCUCACCUAGGCGAACAUCUCUAGCUGGUCUGAGAGGAUGAUGAGAAACAGUGGGACUUAGACACGGUCCAGACUCCGACGGAGGCAGCAGUGGGGAAUAUUGCGCAAGGGGGGCAACCCUGACGAAGACAUGCAGCGUGAAUGAAGAAGGCCUGCGGGUUGUAAAGUUCUUUCGGUAGCGAGGCGUUAACGACAGAAGAAGCACCGGCUAACUCCGUGCCAGCAGCCGCGGUAAUUC